rnacentral:lncRNA from 1 species
UUUUUUUUUUUUUUUUUUUUUUUUUUUUGGUUUUUUCAGUCUCUCCAUUAAUUUUUUCCCCACUUUUUUGGUUUCCAAACUACAUAUUAUUUUCCCUUGAAGUUCCAAGUCGCCCAAAUGGUCAACCCUGGACGUCACAUCCACAGAUCUUUAUCCCUGGCGAUACCCCGUCUGGUUCAUGUCACUUGAGAAAUUGAUAUCCUGUUGCAGCAACCAUAUACACAGAGCUGUAUAAUUAUUGCUUGUGAAAAAUGAUGGGCUGUUUGAGUUGAGCACACAAACUUGAAAUUCAUGGCCAUCCAUACAGGGAUUUGGAGCCUCCGCAGUUUGACCAAUUGGCCGCUCCAAAUUGGAUUGCCAUCAAUAUAUAAUUCUCAAAAUUUUAGGAAAAAAAAAUAAAUAAAUCGAAGCCCAAAUUCAGUGGGUAAAAUUAGAUGUCGCUUGACCUAAGCCGCCAACCAUUAUCUGCAACUGCAAGUACAACUGUAGACAGUCUCAUCCUAACAUACAAAAUGUACUGUGCAUUGUUGAGACUGGCGUCUCUUAAUAGUCAUCUAUCCCGUAUCAUCCGGCCUUGCAAGUAUAAUACAUUUAAAAAAAAAAAAAAAAAAGGCAAGUUUGUCGCCAAAAAAAAAAGAAAAAAGAAAAACCAAAUUAAUUAGUUUCGUCAGGUUAAUUAAGGCUUGGUGAAUAAAAAACCAUACUACUAUUUCAUUUGACUACCAGAAAUUAAAGAUUUACCGACUGCUGCAAUCAGUUUAUAUUAUGCGGAGAACUACAAAAAAAAGCUAAGAAUUGGCAAUUUUCAAGGGGUGACAAUUGUAUAGGGAAGCAGCUGAUGCUUUAGUGAACAGGAUUCAUGUGGGUUCUAAAAUCGGCCGUGGGCUGGGAACACGACUAGCAAGUUGACAAGGGUGAUGACCUUGCAGCAAAAAAAAAAAAAAAGAAGGUUGGCCUUUUCUUGGAACUAAUAAAUGUCUAUCUUAUACAGUAGCAUGGGAUUCAAGAUUUUCAAAGUCGGCUAAGGACCACAAACCAAACCGGUUGAUACACGAUAGAGUGGGAUAAUAGGCACACCGAUAUUUAAAAAGAUAAUAUGCCACUCUCGGUAAGGUAUGGUAUGGCUACUAAAUAAAUGCAUUUUCCCCUGCAAAGUGUCCAGGUUUCACACGGUUCCUAUCUCACACAUAUUCAAUAUAUAUAUAUAUAUAUUGUUCUAGUCUAGAGGGGAGGAGGGAGGGGUGGGCGGUGCCGCCGGUGGGGCUUUGGCCUUUGGCCCUGGUAGACUUGACAGGAGUGGGUACGUAAUAUUUUUGGGGGUCAAGAAGCUGCGGGUAAAUGUUGCGGAUGCGUGUAGCUAGGACGGGUUGGGUGGGUGGGGGAAAGAGGACAGCAGAGGUUUCCCCAGUUGAGCAAGCUAACUCCAAAUUGUGUGUUUCAUUUCUUUUCAUGACCGGUGGUGCCAUGCAUUUCAGUUCUUCCACAAAUGAACAUUACUUGUUCAACUGGACUACUUUUGUUUUGGGCGGUGAGGGGUACUAAGACCGCAAGAGACUUUUGACCACUUUCCUUGGUUUUAUGACCAACCAUUUCUGGUUUAACUAAUCCUGAUCCAUCCUCUAGUUAGGCAGAUACAGAUUUUACACCUUUUUUUUUCCUUUUUCCUUUUCAAUUUCUUUUCUUGGAGGGACUAUAGAAAAACGUCCCUGAUACAUAUAUUAUGUGUGCGUGGUGACAGUAGUAGUGUCUCAUUAGGGGAAACAGCAAAAUCAUUAUGGGAAAUUGGACUGGUCAUAUAUCUUUUACCCCUCCUACUCCUGCCCGAUGCCUAGUCCCCUUGUUUCUUGGGUCUAACAUCUCAAAACUUAUAAUUAAGCAAGCAAUAAAUAGUACUUACAUGAAUUUUUUUUUUUGGUUUAAAAAAAAAAAAAAAGAAAGGAUAUGUGGGAUUAGCGUACCAUGUGAUUGUGAUGGUUAAAAUAGGAAUGAUGAAGUCUGGGGUUGUAGGAGUGAAAUUGGUAGUGGGGUUGAUCCUGGGUCCAUGUCGAUGAAGCCUCAGGUGUUGUGGGUGGCUCGGAGGAGGUCUCGGAAUCAUGAUCUGGUUGCUGCUGGCAUUCUAGGUUUACACCAAACAACCUCAGUCUCUUGGAGUUGGCACUUGCUGCUGCUGUUGUCUGACUCUGCAACACUGCUGCUGCUAUAAUCAUAACACGUGCGCUCAUUAGCAUCUGCUAGUACUAGGGUUAUACUCAUUUCACUCACUCCAGAUAAAAUGAACUCUCUCUCCCUCUCUGACGCUGGGUGGGGAGACAAAGUUGAAAAAACAAUACAUGUUGUAUAAGCAUAUACAGUAGUGCAAUGGCAAUAAAGACACAGAGUAGAAUUGUGCAAGAGUACCAUCUUCAUUUCAGUUACUGCAAUGUGACAAAACUCGGGUUCUCUUGUCAUCAGCCAAACCCAGACUACAUCUGAAUACUGACGACCAUCUAACUUAUAAUAUGUCUAACGUUACAAAACUUGAAUUGCGUAGACAUCACGGGUCAUAUUCGUCGUAUAUCAUUGGGAAAAAUAAUCACCCCACCUUAUUAUUACCCAUAUAACUAGUCAACACAUAGACUCGUAUGCCAGAUGGAAAUGGAGUCAAGAAGAAGAAAAUGUGGUAAUGAAAAACAUGUCAAUCUCACGCCCCUUUAACGUGCGCCUGAUAAAACCCAAGGGGCACAAAAAUCCAUGGCUAAAAUAUGCAUGUCUACACAUGGUAGUUAAUGCAGAGAAGAAAGAAACAAAAAGAGAAGAUAGGGUUCUAAUUCUAAUUGUGAAAAUGCGGGUAGUAGGAAAAUGAUACCUGCACGAAGACAGUCGGGUUGGUAUGGGAGGGCAGGCCCAUGACCAUGACCAUGACCAUCAUCAUGGUACUGCUGCAGCUGUUGUGGAUAAGGAUGAUGCCCGGAUGGAAAGUACACCCGGGUCCACCCACCUCCACCUCCACCUCCUCCGCCGCCCGACGUAGCUGGCUGAGCUUGAGCGGCUCCAGUACCCUCUUGACCACCUUGGCUUGGACCACCUGCUCUCCUUUUCCUCCACCCUAUAAAAAGCCGGUCACCGUCUAGACGGUGCCGUUCGAACAGAACUACAUCCCCCGCAUCCAGCCGUUUCUCUUUCACGAAACGGCUCCAGCCCUUGGUCAAUACGUAGCUCUGGCUGCUGUUCCAAUAAGAAUAUCGAAACCGCCACCCCUUGCCGGACUCGUCCUCGAAACUCAGUAACAGCCCUUUCUCUCCUCCCGCCGAGUCAUUGUUGCCGCCGCCGCUGAGAGGAAAAUAUUUCUCGGCGUGUUGCUUCGGGAUGACGAGGCGGUUGAGCUUGCCGACGUCACUCGGGGUCAAUGGCUUCUCGAACAAGGGCUCUUUGGGUACUAUUUCCUUGUCUUCCUCUUGUUUGGUGAUGAUGCGGGCGUUGCUUUCCCUCUCAUCCUCAAUGGCAGUAGCUUCAUCCUCCUCUUCGUUGUUUAGGUCGAAGCUGAAAGCUGCCGAAUUAUGCGGACUGUGGGCGGAGAUUGGCCGGUAGAGGUGGGAAUUGGGCCAAAAGGCGGCUGCGGUGGUGGUGGUGGUGGGCCUGGAGGGUGGAGUUUUUGCGGAGGAGGGUUCCAUGGUAUGGUGGUAGUGAUGUUGUUGUUGAGGCCACCGGUAGUGUGUUUCUGGGAGGUCCGAAGAGAAGUGGUUGAUGGACAUCACGAAGAUCGAUAAAUUUUAAAAUAGAAGGCGAGAAGAAAGGAGAGAAUGUGUUAUGAUUUUGUGAAAAUCUUUGUAGUAGUAGGAGCAAGGCGGUGAUGGAUGAUGCUAAGCAGAAGUAAUGGGACUGAGAGAGAGAGAGAGAGAGAGGGUGGGUGUUUUGGGUUCGUGAGGGGGGACGCCGAGAGGCGUGAUUUGAUUAUGGUUGGUUUUUGAUGUGGGAACUAUUCUUUCUAUAGUAUUUGAAGUACCCCCCAACCCCAAGAGAUAUACUACAAUACUGUACUCCCAACUACUAAGUGACACUACUAGUACUGCGUGUUUUUGUGUGUUUGUUGUGUGUGUGAGUGUGAAUACGAGAGAGAGAGAGAGGGGGGGGGGCUUGGGAUGCACUUGGGAUGGGAUUGUUGGGGGGGGAGGAAUAUCAUAUCGUCGUCGUCGUCGUCCGGUCGUCGUCAUCAUCAUCAUCAUGGUAAUUCAUGUACAUGCGUAUGCAGAAGUACGAGAGUACUUUUCAAGGUUUUGCGUGAUGAGAAAAUCAUCAAUCAUUAUAUUCAGUGCAAAAUUUAUAUGGUCGGUACUUUUGCCGAUUCAGUAUUAUAAGUAUUAGUAAGAUUUAAUAAGAAGAAGAGCAUCAGGAUGGAAAAACGGGACUACUGAAAUUGGCAGCAGAACACGUAGCGCGGUUGAUGAAUCUUUGAGAAAGAAGAGAGAGAGAUUCUCCACUACCGUACCACCACCCCAGGGGUGAACAAUAAUAAAUACUACAUUAUUACAUCAUCGAGUCUUGAGAAAAAGGAGGGGAAAAAAAAAUAUAUAUACUGUAUGAUGCUAAUAAGUAAUAACACACACACCCAUGUUACCAUGCUGAUGGAUUGAUUGGUGGUGGGUCUUGUGACUUUCAAAGUCCUCAGUUUCUUAACCAGCUCACACGAGUCUACUACACAUUACCGUGACUGAAGUCUACCCAUUAAUUCCAAUAUUGCAAUCCAAAAAAUCAAUCCAAUGGCGGUGGCCUCAACCCUUCUCCUCCUACUUUUCAUAUUCAUUUUCCCUAAAGUUGAUGUACCUCCCUUAGUAUUAGGUUGACAAUAACAAUAAUAGUAUUUGUAUUGUGGAGCCGGGAUUUAUUUUUACUGGUAUGACAGGUGACCAGCUAGACAGCUUGUAGCUAGUAGUAAUCCCUCCAGAAUACUACUGCUUUGAUAGUCCUGAUUCUUUUUUCGCACAGUUUAAUAAAAAGUAGUUAACUUAAUUUGUUGAAACAAUCAAUUUAGAUAGCUAUUUUUUUUUCUAAAAUACCCUCACAUUAGUUAGACUACAACUUUAUGGGAACUUGAAUUGAUAGAAAAACAAAAAAAAAAAAAAGAAUCGACUCUCAUUAAAUAGGGUAGGUUUGUAGUAACAACAACUUACAUUGAAUAAGGGUAUUUUACGAAAAUUAAAAUACAACUAUAUUUUUCAAUUGGAAAGUGGACUACAAUUUGGAACAGACGAAAAAGGAAAACGGGACUAUCAAAGUGGGACGGAGGAGGAGGGAGUGUAUAAGAUUGGAAAGUGAUUUCAGUUUUAUGACCCUUUGUCAUGUAAAAGCUGCAAGUGGAAAUGCCAUCUCCAUCGGUUUUACUUAAAUUAGUCCUAGGUUGACGAAAUAUCUCCCCAACCAAAAAACCUUAAAACAACCCUGCCUUUCUUAAAUCAAGGAAUUAAGCGAUUGCACGGUGACUUUACAUCAUUGUUUAUUACGUGUGCUGGAAUUCUACGAAAUUGAGAGAUGUGGAUGGAUAAUAUCAUCAUCUCUUCCACUCCGUUAGCUGAAAUGAAAAUUUUUAACAUCUGUUGGACAAUUCAGACUUUUAGGUGAAGAUUGAAAGAAUUGGUAGUGGUAAACGUAGGGAGGGAUUGCAGAAAGAAGCUGGAGGCGUAAUUCAGCUCACGUGCAUGACAGCAGAAUUAUUGAUGAUGUUUGGCCAGUCCUAGUUCAUCAUCAUUCAUUCAUAUAUAUAUAUAUACACGAUCGAGCAGAGCAAGAAAAGAAUAGUAAUAUUUGCGGGAGGGUCUGAUUCUGAUCUAAACACCAGACAUGGAAUUCCAGUAAGCACAGGGAUGAGAUAAGAUUUGUCCAAUAGGAAAACCAGUACAACUGCUUGCUUAGACUUCUUCUGGUUUCAUUAAUUUCUAUUAUUAUUAUUAUGAUUAUUCUUCUUCUUCUUCUUCUUCUGCAAUCGUGUUUCAAUCCUCUCCUCAUGUCAUACAAUCGUACGCGUACAACCCACCCCUCCUCUUCCGUCCCUCUCGAUCUCACACAUUAAUAAUAAUCACGCUCUCUAGCUACUUACACACAAUACAGCAGCAUCUCUGUGUCCCUAUCUCAUGUUUUAUGUUCCAUAUUCAAUUCGGCUGUGGCCAUAUUUUGCAUAUAUCUUCUGUGCGUUUUGUUCCAAGUAUCAGACAAAAGCCCCACCUCUUUUUCCAGGUAGAUGCAGACACCCUUUUCUUCUCACAAAAAGGUUGGACUGACUGACUGACGGACUGACUAGUUUUUUUUUAUUUACUACGUACCGCUACUACUACUAUCGUAUAUCAUAUUGAUUGAUCAAUUAAUAAUAAUAAUCAUAUCAUAAUUAAUUAGUGGAGGUCGUUGCGCCAUCUUAUGCUGCCUUGCAUCUGAUCAUAUAUAUAUAUAUAUGUCUAUCUACAAUUUGCUUUGCUCAUCUCACUCCAGCCCAUGACACAUCCUCAUCAAAUAUAAAUUAUAUUCACGUCACAUGCGACUACUGGAUAUACUUCCCAUUCCCCCUCCUCCGUUCACCUAAGUUUCAUGUAUCACGCCAAUAGCCAAAGUGAAACUGUUGAUGUUUAAGAAUUCAAUACUACCAGUUGGUUUCAUUAUGCACUGACAGUUCAAUUCAGAACUAAAAAGGUCUAGUUGCUUUGUAGGGGAAUCUAGCUAGCAUGUUAUUAUCGGAGAGUUAAUUUCUGUCAUUUCUUUUCUUUUUUAUGUUCACACGCUAGAAGAGAAGAGAUUGACUCAUCAUGCAUGAUGAGGUAGACAACUAAUUAACUAGUGUAUAUCGAUCGAUAAUGCAAUUAUCAGUAACGUAACACAAUCCAUCAUGCAUAGUUAUGCAUUAAAAUGGCAUGUUGAGUCAUGCAGUUCGAGUAUUUGAUAGGUGAAUUGAAUUGCACAAGAAGAAGAAUAGGAAUGUAGAAACUCAUCGUCAUUGUCAACUGUCAAGUUUUAGUUACGUAAUUAAAACCUGUUGGACCAAAAAUAACAUGCCGCAGCUGUUGUAUAUGCUGAAUACAUAUCUAGUUUUCUGCUAGUCAAGUUUAUUCGUAUAUGGUCCCGGAGCGAGCGCAAAAUAAUACAAUUGACCGUUCUUGUUUCUAAUAGCAGUGUAUUAUUUAACAUAUAUACUUCUUGUUCCCAACUUAAACCCACCUGCAUUUUCUUUCUUUAUAAUACAUCGCCAGUCUCUGCCACUUUCUAUAUAUGAAGGGGCCUGGGAACACGUGAAGGUAUAAUGACCAAGUUUUUCAAGACAAUAUUCAUGAUUGAGCUAUUUUGUAGCAUAAGAAAUCCAAUUGUUUAUGACUUUGAGACAGACCUCUGCAGACGGCAUCAGUUCAUGUAUGAUUUAACAGACCUCACUCCCCAAAACCCAACCCUUAGACCAAGAACAAUGCACCAUAAUCCAAACCCCCUGAUGCCGAUCUCCAUUAUCUCAAGCUUCAUGGAUAUAUAUAUAUAUAUAUAAUUGAAUAAUUCCCAAUUGUUAAGUUGUUGGUGAAGAAAUCCUUCCCCUUGAGCAUGAUUACGUACGUAUGGAUUAUGGAAUCAAGUAAUUCAUGUAUUUGCGUUUUCUAAUUGCCCGGGUUGUAUUUAAUUAAUCAACUAUGGCGUUCGUUGAAUUAGGAAACGAUACAAUAAAUGUGCAGUUGCUACCUAAUCGAGACAUGACUCCAGUAUUGGGAUUAUAAUCUGCUGACAAAGUUGUUUAUUUCCUGUCUCCAUGUUCUCGAGCUAUUUAGACUUCACUUGCUGGAAAGGUCAAUCCAUUCCACUUUGACGAUCUUUGGCUGUUUAUUGGUGUCCCCUUUGUCCGUUGAUUCUGACUAAUUGAUGGUUUAAAUAGUAGAAGUGAUCAACCGACGAAUAAUAUAUAGCAUAAACAAUUUAUGUUUUCUGAUUAAACUGCAAAAGAUCAUUUGAUUGAAUUUUCGGACAACCAGUAGCCACAAUUUUCAAACGUAGGUCUUACUUCUCUUUGGGGGGCGGGGGGGGGGGGCAAUAAUUGAAGAAGGAAUCAAAAGAUGCAUAAUGGACGUCCUAAUUCUGGGGAAUUUUUCUGGCACCUUUGGAUGUUCAGAUGGCUUCCAAAUGUCAUUAUUGUGAUAUAUUUAAAGCGAAGAUUAGCAACCCAAAAAAAGAAAAAAAAAAAAGUGAUGGUCAUCAUAAAAUAAAAUCCUCCCGUUGAAUUUUCUGUUCUUGCAUUUCUGGUCGUCGGGUCGGGGUAGGGGACCUCUUAUAUCAUUUAUCAAAGCAAAUUGGGAUCCAUAUACAUGUCUUGAGAUUGGACCAUACAACCUGUUCACACACAGUCAUGGAGCCGUUAUAUUAGACUCUGAAAUCUAGGUGGGCCUAAAUCUAUUUGUCAUCAGGAGAGGAGAUGUGCCUAAUUAGAAAGGGGAUGUGGAAAAAAGGAAGGAAAGAAUGGUUAAAAACCAGUCUUGCUCCGCAAAGGUACAAAAAUUAACCAAGGAACCGUGUCAACUUUCCCUUCUCUGUCUCUCUCUUUUUCUUUUUUUUUUUUCUGAUGGAACGGGUGUCCGGAUCAAUCCUUACGGGACCCGUCUAAUCCUAUUCCGAUCCGGAAGAAGAGGCCUUAUUCUCCCGAACACGAUAACUACGGGAUUCGGACCCUUACGAAUACUGGAUACCAGCUUCUAAGGAGACUUGCUGAGACCAAUCGAACCGCCUAUGAGGGACGUACAAUUUGAUAGGAGGCAAGAGUUGAACCCCUGACCUCCCACCUCACCGGGAGAGGUGGUGGCCAACUUUCCCUUCACUCUCUGUUUAAUAAUGAAGAACAUGUACCAUAGGACUGCAUUUUUCAGGAAGAACGUGUCAUGUCCACCUAAAAAAGAAAUUUUGCCGUGCUCAAUUUAAUUGGGAAGGACCGAAUCUUCUUUUUCCUUUCUUUCCACGUUUUUCGUGGAAAUUCUGCUAGAGGGGGGGGGGGGGGGGGUUGUGAUUUCUGGAAAAAGGAAAUCAGAGUAAUAUCUUCCUCGAGGGUACGUUAGAGUGCAGGAUUUCAAGUGAAGAUAAUAAAAUACUGUAGUGAUACAAGUGAUGUUGUUGUUCAAUCUAAAAGACAUGACAAACAGAUAUGUAGUACGUACCUGCGUAAUUACUUUCCCCAAAGGUAGCGGCAUAUCCCCACCAACUAUCCCGAAGACAUUCGUUCGUUUACGGCUUGAAGGAGAUUUUGAGAUCACUUUCUUCACUAACUCUUCUGUGGGUUGUACUUAUUGACAUGGAUAUGGAACCAUUUCAUUGCUACGAGUACUCAUUUUAGCAAGGAAACAAGGGCCACCUACCACCAUGAGUUUACUUUCAGUUUCACCAACUACAAGUCAUGAACUACUUGCUACAUUCGUGCAUGCAAAUCGGAAAUUGGAGCGGCGGACUUGCCUGCUACUUGAUCACAUUUUUUCUUUUAGAAAUGUUAGUGAAAGAACGAUGAGAUUUAAAAAGUGAACAGAAAAAAAAAAAAAAAAAAAAAAGAGAAGCUAAACCUAGGAUUUUGGAUUUCUGGCGUUUCAAUCUUAAUCAUUAGAAUAACAUCUCCUCAAGAGUUGCUUGAUCACUUGCCCACAGUCAACUAUGAUAGAAAAUUCUAGCAUUCUAGUCUAUAGAAUAUUAUAUUCUAUACAAAAGAAGCAUGGAUUCAAGAGCUUUUGAAAAACUGUUUUUGUCUUUCAAAUUUACAGUAAUAAACUCUAAAAGUAAUUCAAAAAACCAACUCAAAAAAAACACAUCUCAAAUACACUAAAAAAAAAAAAAAUAAGAAUUCCUUCUUUUUUCUUCACCUAUCACCCACCAUCAACUUUCAUCAUAUACCAUCACCCGUCGCCACCUCUCUUUCUUCUCUCCUCUAUCCUCCUCCCUCCGCCCCACUCCUCUCCCGCAACUCCCCUUCUCCUCCCACCCUCUUUGGUCGCCACCCGCGACCAGGUGACCAAAAACUAGCUGCCAACUAUGGCGACCAAUUUUUGGUCGUGAGGGGGGUGGAAAAAGUUUUAUAGAAUUUUAAAAUAUUUUAUUAAAAUUUUAGAUUUUAAAAAUAUCAAAAAAUAUAUUUUCAAAACCAUCCAAAAAAAAAUAUUAAAAAUACUUAUCAUAAAAGUUUUUCACAUAUAGUAUUACAGUAAAAUAUUUUAAAAACAUUCCCAAAGCAGCUAAUCCUAAAAUAUUUUCUCAAGGCUUUUAUUUCCGUGAUAAGUAAUUACAUGCCGUUAAGCUAAGAGUUUAUUUAGGAAAUGGAGCAGGGACAACCAUCAGGACGAUUUACGGCUAUAAUUGGUCAAUAUAUAUAUAUAUAUAUAUAUAUUUCUCAUGUCAUAUGUCAGUGAAUUACACAUUGAAGAAAUGAAUGUGCAUCAUGUAGCGGAAUCGUACAAAACUGACAUGAUGUCCCAAAUCCGUUUAUUUAAUCUUCAGGAUGGAUUAUUUGUAUAGUUCAUUUUUUGUCCAUUAUUGGAAAAAAGUAUGGGUUGCAAAAGUAGUGGUAGCCUAGACCCUAGUAGCAGCAGCAGCAUAGAGAAGCAGCCACGUCUGCGUUUUUUUCCUGGUGGUCCGGACCGGCUCCAAAUGCCAAAUGGUCCUUCAAGUCGAAGAUCAAUUCCAUUCCAUCCGCAUGGUACGUAGUAGUAGUAUAUUAAAAACGGCAGAGCAGAGAAGGCGUGCGGGGACUUCUCCAAACUGGGGCCCACCAGAUCAAAACACCAACAUUUGUGAUUCAGCCCAAUUUGGCCCACACGCCAUAUAUGUUUCUGAUACAUGCAACUAUUUUUGCUCUAGUCCCGUGAGUGCGUGCGUGUCUGGUUGUGUCCAUGAUUCAAUCUUCUUCGCUGCCCUAAGAACAAAAUUCUGAAAUUGGGAUAAUGACACGCGGGAGAUAUCUGUGGCAGCAACACAAAUGGGGUACAUUGCAUGGGGUGGAAAUGCGGGACCAUGAAUGAUGGGAGCCGGUCCAGCAACAGUGCGUGGUCCCAAAUCGAUGAGCCUCAAGGCCCUGAUCAGCAUCAUCGGCCGAGAAUUUUGAACCCAAUGAAUCAGAGAAGAAUGGCUGAAGGUGCCACCACCGGUUUCAGGAAGAAAGGUCCCUGCCCUGCCCUGCCCGUCCCGUUAGCUCAGCGGGCUGGAAUUGGAUGCGAUAAGGAUUUGAGGAGUGUCAAAGUCAGGUCCAGAUUAAUCUCCAAUAAGGACUGGACGUUGCGGAUGCAAAACGAAAUGCAACUUUCAGUGUCUGCCUGCUGUCUUGGAAAAUUCUUUGAAAGGGAAAAUUUGUAGAAGCCAAAAGGAAUCAUGCAAUUGCUAAAUGGACCGCGACCGCUUUUCCUCGUUAACCACAUGAAUCUUUCCAAGUCCCGUGUCCCUUUUCACACAAAAAAUAUGCCAAAAUGGCCAACCCGAAAUGCCAUUUUUAUCACACGCUGCUGCGCUUAAUCUUCUUGUUCUAGAACCUUUUGAAUUCUUGUCCAAAAUUCGGCCUACAUGGGAUUGCCCUUUCAAUGCUGAAAUUCUACCUUUGUCCGGUUUAAACUCUUGCGAGGCACGAUUAACUUGCUCUGUGACUAGCAAAAGACCAAGAUUUAACUUGCAUGUACUUGAAAUAUAAUAGGUUUGUUUGGAUUGUAAGUUAUUUGAGAUAUUUUUACUGUAGCACUUGUUGUGACGUGAUGUAUAUAAGAUAAAAAGGUAAUUGAGAAGAUAAAAAGGUGUAUUGGAAAUCGUAAUGAUGAUGUAAGCAAAUAAAAUUGGGAAAAUAAUGCUCAAUUAAUAUAACCCGUACCAAGGCCGAACUAAUGGACUUCUUGGUUGGCAUAAGAAUGCUCUGCUCCGCCUGGUCUUCCCAUGUCCUACCCGCUGCCUGAAAGGCUGAAAGCCACAAAAUAUUUGACACAGACCCGUAAGAAAAAGAAGACGAGCAAAUUAAACCGGAAAAAGGGGAGUACAAAAUAUCAUCGUAAAGGUUGAAAUAUUUCUCCCCAGAUGCAAUUAAUUUGCUUAGCUUUUUCCUAUGCUGGUAUUUUUGAGGUCGAAAUCCGGUACACAUGAUAAUCUAGCCACCUAGACCUGGACAUUUAUUAGCAUGAGGUGACAACGACUUUGAAAAGUCAUUACUCAUUCGCACAUGUUUACAAUUUUUCACUUUUCCCGUUCAUUGAGAUGAGAUGGAGCAUCGAUCGCAUCAUGUUCUCUUCUCUGCUUUUGUAGAGUAUUAUUUAUUUGACUAAUGGACCGACCUCGCCUAACUUUGAAAAACCCUACCAACAGCUGAAGAAGACAGCUGCUUUUCGUCAUCAAUUGCGUCAACAGCAAUUAGAUUAAAAUUUUGCAACAUUAAUUUUGUUUUCGAGACAUCCCUCCUGCACUGCGCGUCAAUUUUCACGAAGCUUUCUAUUCUUGAGUCGGCAGCCAUCUUAUGCGCAAGAAAUUACCUUUGCAUGUAUCCACUUCGCAGAGCGGAUGCCCAGUCGAUAAUCAGUUUUUCUCUUCCGUGUUUGCAUAAUUUCCAGUAAAGUGAGGAAGAAAAAGAGAUUGUGGUAUAUAUUGAUCUUAUUGAAAAUCCCAUUUGUAUAUGCCAAAAAAAAAAUGCGUUCGGAGCUUAUUGACGUCCAAAAAAUCAGGAAUCACAUCAAUUAGCUGCUGCUGGAGUGGUAAUAUUGAGAGAGCCAAUUCUCGAUAAUCUUGAUCUCUCUUCUCCUCGCAUGCUUCAGCCAUUCUGGAUCUUCAGGUGUCGAGAAUCUAAGGUCCACAUGGUGUGCACCUGUGACACAAAAAAAUCCACACCGUACGUACAAAACACGUCAUCAAUUUCACUUUACAUUAUUAUUAUUUUAUUAUUAAAAAAAAAAAAAAAAAAAAGCUUGGCGUACGAGAUUUCUUCGCUUGAAAACUUGGCAUACUAGGUCAAGUUCCAAAUUGUCAAAGGCAACAUGCUUAAAUUUUGCUUUUCUUAAGAAGUGUGUGUAAAUGGCAAAAAAAACUAAUGGCAGUAAAGUAAACUGACCUUCCUUUGCAACAAUGGCUACGAGGCUUUUCGAUAUAUCCUUUAGCACCCUGCAAUAAUUACAUGCAUUAAUUGCAACACCAAGGCGGCCAUAUCAUAUAGAAAUCUCUCAUUCCGAACGAAGAGACGACUGACCCUCCCCCGCUCCAUGGAUCCCUCAGUCCGUUGAAGAAAAUGAUGUUGCUUCCGAAGCGCUUCAAAACUCUCUGAAUGUUCUGUCAGGGAGAACAACAACGCAACAAAACACGCUCAACCUCGUUCGCAUUAGGCGUCAGGAGUCAAUCCACAUUCAUCAUUACUGUUAUUAAAUAUGCACUAUACACAAAGAGGUGGGUUUGGCCCUCACAUGGCCACCGAACUCCGUGGUAAUCCAGUUGGGCCUGGGCUGGACACCAAAAGCAUCUUCGCAGGAUUGGGCUCUUCCUGCGUAGUCCCACUCCGAAGGCGGAAAUAUGCUGUCCGCAUUGUUCCCGCCAAUGGGCAGUAUCAUCUCCGUACACGCCUGCAGCAGAAUAGAUGACUCCGGACUCAUUCAUUUGAACCCGCCAGAGCUAGAUCUUUUCAUUUGGUUGAGAAAUUCAAAGAACGAUUGAUAAAAGUAGCAGCAAUUCAUGUUCAGGGGCAUCGCAGCACAUUAUUAUUAUUUUGAUUAGGAACAAAACUAGAGCGGGAAGGCAUCUAAUCCAAAGGCCGGAGUACUGGAAGUGGAAGGGGGCCAAUAAUUGGAUGACUCGCCAUCACAGUCACAGGAAGGCUUACAGCCUGUACAUCUCCCCCACUCGUACGUGAAGAAGCGGGUCACUUAACUGGAUUCCACCAUGAUAUUAGCGUGGACAUCUCGUUGUUUCAGUGCUAAAAAAAUAAAAAAUUUGUUUUUUUUGUUUUUUGUUUUUUGAGGAAUAGAAAAAAUUGGUUUAGAGUGAGAAAGUGAAGAAUCUUUGUGUCUAGUACUCCUACAAUUUUCCUCGACCAAAUCAGGCCCUCAAAAAGAUUGACCAAUCCCUCAAACUCUUGAAGAAUAUCACUCCGUUUGAGAAAAGGUAAAAGCAUUUAUUAUUAACUUUUAGUUUUGCGUGGCCCUGGAUCCAAUGACUAGGAUAUAUAUUUAUAUAUAGAAAUCCUCCUUCCUGUUUAAGAAUCCAAAGAGCUCUUCAAAAAAAAAAGAAGAAAGAAUCCAAAGAGUUGCUCCCGUGGAAUCGAAUCACAGACCCACUCGUCAUUACGUUCCAUGUUAAUCUGACUUUUGAAUAGCCUGACAGAGACUAUUCUGUCCUCCUUAAUCCUAUCACAAUAAUAAUAAUGUUGUGUGUGUGUGUGUGUGUGUGUGGUUUGCUGUUGAGCUCAGAAUCCGGAUCGGGGGGGGGGGGGGGGGAGAAUAUUCCUUCAUACCUGGUAACAAAUAAGGUUCUUGCUUCUUACUUACCUGCCAUGACCAUUCAUCGAGGCCAUGCGGAUCUGAAUCAUCAUUGAGAUUGAAACACGUGGCUCUUCCGGUCGAGUUGUAGUAGACGUUAGCUGCACCGUACAGCUUCUCAAACGUAUUACUAUUGUUUCCCGCUUUUCGAUCGUCAAUCGCCUUGCACAUCUGCAGCGAAACAUUCACAGAGGUUUGACUUUGCAAAUUUAGUUUCACCCUGUCCUUCCUCUCGUCUUCGAGAGCAUAUUAUUAUUGAUGAAGCUGGGUCGGGUCUCUCCGGUUCAAGUUCUGUUGUUGACUUGUGCAAACUAAUAAAUAAUUGUAAAUCUUUGUACCGACUUAAUUACGCAUAAUUUAUAUUUACAUUAAUAAAAUUGUGGUAACAGAUUACACAGAAUUGGAGAUUGAUUCAUUUGCAAUUAAGUGUAACAACCUUAUUGCAAUUGUUUGAGGGCGGUUGGUGAGAAAUGAUGUGCACCCAAUUGACGUAACAACAGUACCUUUCUUGAUUAGAUUACGUUGCCCAGUCCGAUGGACAAACUGAGCAGUGAGCUUUGUCAAGAUAUUUCAAAUUAAAGCGACUAGUGGUUGUUAAGAAUAAUACAAUACGUCCAAAUGCCAGCUUAAUCCUGGAUGUGUAAUUAAUGUGUUUCCCGCAAGCAUUAGCAUUAGCAUUAGCAAGAGCCAUUUUCCUGCAAAUUUUUUAAGGCUUUCAAAACGUAGUAGUGUAGUACGUACCUGCUUCACCGGAUAGGCUGGCAAAGGAUUGAGAAAAUUGGAUGGAGUUGGGUAAUCCGUCAUGGCCGUGUAAAUAAACGCGGUGGAUAGCCAACUUACAAGAGCACCCGCACUGAUGUAGUUCCUGUGAUUCGAUUUCAUUAAAGCUGCAUGUAUUGAAAUUGUUGGUUGAUGAUUGAUGGCACAUGUACUUCUAAUUACUUGCAUAUUCUGAAGGACUUCCGGAGUGUGUCCAGGCCGCCCGAUUGUUCUGCAGUGUCUUCUAUUAGUUGCCACGAUCCUUUUAUCACUUUGUAGCAGUUCUCGCUCUCGCUCUGUUGUCACAUGCCACAAUGUCGCUGUUAAUCAUACAUAACUAAUAAUAUAUACACCCGCCGCCAACAUUUUCCAGUGUCAAACAAACUAACAUGCAUAUGUACAACUUCAUCGUUGGACUCUAAAUAUUGACACGAUUCUUUCAAUAUAUAUAUAUAUCCGAUUGUACUUUUCUUCUUAAUUUAACUUUAUCUUGAAGCUUGACCUGGCUGGCCGGCCGGCCGGCCGGUGUCUUUUGCUUUGGACGUAUGAUACUAAAAAAUGACCACUACCGAGAGAGACGAAGGAAGAGAGAGAGAGAGAGACAUGCCCUGAAAUCAUUGCCGACGGUGCUGUGGAAGCUGUAUUCAGAUGUUAUGUUGUCAAAAUAGAGGAUUGGUGCAGAGGAUGCCAGGGCUCCUAUUGCAACGUGCGGAUACUUUAGUCUGAACCAAGCUGCAAGCACUGUCAGGAUCAAACCAAUUAAACUGCUCGUGACCAUCAGCUCACUCAAAUUAAUUCCGACUAGAAAAAAAGAAAACCAAACGCACGCCAAAUAAAUAAUGCCAUACUUCCCCCGUAGGAGCCUCCAAACACUACCACGGGCGAAUCAACUGCACUCAAAUUCUUUUUGAGGUCAAUGAUCAAAGUUGCAUAAUCUGCCAAUGCCUGCGUGGAGCUCAAAUAUCCCAGAGUACUUGAGUUUGCAUAAGCCGCGUCUUUAUUGCCCCCGAACGGUAUCGAUUUUCCAUAAAAUCUAUGCUGCAGAUUGAUUUGAUUUUGUACAUGAAUUCCAAAAAAAAAAAAAAAAUCUUCCCAUAAUCAAAGCGUGUACUGAACUCUGUUUCCGUGAACAUGAUGAUGUGCAUGAAAACACGAUAGGAUGGAUAUGAAACAGUAACGAUUCAUAACUAUGUGACAUGUUUUCUUUCCGCCCCAUUAUGUUGCAGCCAGGCCUUUAACUAGUAUUUCUGGAACAAAUAAGAUACAAAUUACCUCGAUGAAAACUAGAAGAGCUUUGAAAUGAGGCGCGUUCUCGAACAUGAAACCUGUAUUUUGAGUAAACCACUCGAUGUCUCCUUCAUUUCCCGUAUAGACGAAGAUUGGGGCAUUUUUCUUAGCGCCGCCCCAGUGUUUGUAAGAGAUUAGAUAUCUCUGUUGAAAGGUUUGAUAACUCUGGGGAGUAAAAGUGAAAUGAUCGAGUAUUUGAGUGUAGUAUUUUGUUUCGUAAAGCUUACUUUUGAUGGAAACAGAUGACGAUGAUUCUGGCCGGAAGGCGGGAGAAGGAAACCUCAAGGUAAUCUUGGCCGAAGAAAUGAGAAGAAGUUGCAACGUCAGAAACAACAAUCUCAAUCUGGUACCACCCAUAGCCAUGAAUUUUUGUGUGCGGUGGUGUGUGUGUGUGUGUUUCGGAGAGCUCUGGGCGAGUUUGUUCUUCCUUCUUCGGAAGGGGGGCGUCGUUAAAACAACGCAGAGGAGAUGAGACCAAAUUAAGCUGUAUUGGUGCCUCGCCUCGUUGGAAUAUUAAACUUCCUUUUUUUUUUUUAUACUAUAUCUUAAAAAAGCAGAUUCGGAGUUGACGAUCGCGGCCAUACCAACCAGCCAACCAAUUAUGAUCCUGGUCAGCAUUAGUCACGACCACUAAUUUGUAAUUACCCUGUGCCCAUCCAAGCCUACCCUUUCUAUAUUGCCCGAACGAAUAUGAUAGAAUCACGUUCGAUCAUAAACUACCAUGCUCUCACGAACCAAUCACUACCAUGGUUCGCCAUCGCAGGUCGCGGUCGCGUCGCAAUCUCAGUUGUUUCACUGCAUAUCGGUUGAAUAUCGGGUGAUAUGAACAUUAUAAUACAUUAAAGUUUCCAAAAAUUUUGAAAAAAUUACUAAAAUUAGAAAAUACUGAAAAAGACACAAUUUAAAAAAAUAUCGGAGUCGACUCCGAGUUGACUCGGAUAUAUCGACCGAUAUCAUGUAUCACGGAUUUGAAUCGGUCAAUAUCGGCCGAGUCAGAGCGAGUCGUCGCGGAUAUGGUGAUAUCCGCGAUUCGGGGAUCGGUAUCGUACCGGUCCCUUCCGUUCCAGAUACGACUCGGCCAAUACGUAUCGGUACCGGCCGAUAUGGCGAACCAUGAUCGCUACAUUUAUCUUCAUAUUAUUUUAAUAAAAAAGAAGAAAAUUAUAUUAAGCGAAUUGAAUUGCUGAAAGUCGUCAAACACGAUGAUUAGCUUGGCUAAUCUGUAUGUAUGUAUACCCAUAUAAAGAACAUGUACAAAGAAAAGAGAAAUGAAAAAUAACGAAUUCAAUAAUGUUUGAAGAGCAAAUAUUUUACAAAAAAAAAAAAAGUUUGCAGAGAAUAAGAAUCUUGUCAGUCUACAAUUAAUUUUAAUUAAUUUACAAAUUAUCAAAGUUAAUUUUUGGUCUUUUCUUUUUUGACCCAUUUCAACAGAAACCAAUUCAGACAGUCCUGCCUUCAAAAGAAAUAUCCUUUUAACAUUUUUAGACUAAAACGGUAGGAAGAUCAAAGAUGAGGCCAGCAACAUUUCAGGAAAGAGGAACAUUAGUUGAUGAAAUAGCAAAAAAUCUCAUUAGGUGUCGAAACGUUUAAAAAAUCAUCUUCCUCACUCACACUACUGUCUGUCAAUGCGAGAGGAUUAACAUCAUUCACAGGAUCGUGUCAAAAGCUCUUAGACAAAAACUGAGACCACAAUUGAUGGACGUGUUUUUUUUUUUUUUAUUCUUUUUCUAUUUUUUUUAAUAACAAUUGAUUCCCUUCCUUAUUUAUAGCAAGGUUUUUAUUAUUUAUAGUCAAUUUCAACAAAUCUAAUUAAUGAUUUGUUUUAUAUAAAUUUGUAUUAAUUGUACCCUAUUUAUUUUUUUUCAAACAAUUUCAAUCACAUUCUAUAUUCCUGAUAUCGGUUCGCGUUUUUCAAUCACAUUCUUUUAUGCGGGGUUGUAAAAGUUCUCUCAAAUUACUUUUCUUAAUUUUUAAUAAUUUAAGUAAAUAAUAAGUUCAUCAUCUAUUAGCUUGCUUUUAAAACUCUUUUUAGUCGUGAAAGAAUAAAAUAUUUAAGGACACUUAUUUCCUAAUAUAUCUCCUUCACCAUUAAUUAGAGUAAACUUUACAAUAUACGAUUAUAUUAAAACUAAUUAUUAAGUUGUUAUAAAUUAAUCAUUUUAAUGUUUGUCUUACAAUUAGUAUAUUAAAUUUUUCUCAAAUAGCAUUUUAAGCUUUUUUUAUAAACAAAUUUUGUUUCGAAAAAAUAAAAAUUGCGGAGUAUAAAAAAAAUGCCCAUGCAAAUGCACAGGAAAGAAACUGGUGUGCUAAUAUUUUCAAGCGUAUUUGUGCAUUUGCUUGGGCAUUAUCUCAUGAGAAGAAGCCAAAAUAAACAUGAUGGUUUAAAACCGCAAGAAGAUUAAAGCAUGAUUAACUCAUUAGAAUCAGAGACUUUUGUACAAGUCACACUCAAAACUGACACAAUUUUCUACAAAAAGAAAAAAAAAAUUACAAAGACAGAUUCCUCUAACAGAUGAGCUGAGAACUUUCCAAGCAUAACUAACAAGAUGUUAAUUCUUUCUUUUAAACACUCCAAUUUGUCUCGAUCUGCGGAGCUAUCCCAGGUCCACAGCCUUCA